GCCUGGGUGGCGGAAUUGGUAGACGCAGUGGAUUCAAAAUCCACCGAUAGCGAUAUCGUGUCGGUUCGAGUCCGACCCUAGGCACCA
rnacentral:tRNA from 10 species